rnacentral:rRNA from 1 species
AAACUAAGCGAGCUACUCUAAAACAGCCCACAGAGCCAACCCAUCCCUGUUACAAAAGGGUGGGGAGAUUUUAAAGUAGAGGUGACACACCAAUCGAGCCUAGAGAUAGCUGGUUAUUCAAAAGACGGAUCUAAGUCCAACUUUAAGCUUCUACAAGUGACACAAACAGCCCACAAACUUAAAGGCCAUUCAAAUAAGGUACAGCCUGUUUGAACAAGGAGACAACCUAUGACAUAGGGUAACGACCACCACACGUGACUAAGUAGGCCUAAAAGCAGCCAACUUCUAAAGGGCGUCCAAGCCUUACCGCACCUGCCAUCAAUUCCUCUAUCCACCCACAACCCACAACCAAUAAUGAAUGACCCCAUACCCAUAUGGAAGACACUAUGCUAGAACUAGUAACAAGAAGACGAACUUCUCCAAAAUGCAAACAUAGGCCAAAAUGAACCCUCACCGGCACUUACCGCACCACAACAUAGUACUAACUGCACAAGAAUACCCUACUACAUUGCGCGUCAACCUUACACAAGAGCAUCCCUGGAAAGAUUAAAAGGGGGG